UACGGAGGGUGCAAGCGUUAAUCGGAAUUACUGGGCGUAAAGCGUGCGCAGGCGGUUUGUUAAGGCUGUUGUGAAAUCCCCGAGCUCAACUUGGGAAUUGCAAUGGAUACUGGCAGGCUGGAGUAUGGUAGAGGAAGGUGGAAUUCCCGGUGUAGCAGUGAAAUGCGUAGAGAUCGGGAGGAACACCAGUGGCGAAGGCGGCCUUCUGGACCAAUACUGACGCUCAUGCACGAAAGCGUGGGGAGCAAACAGG
rnacentral:rRNA from 1 species